rnacentral:rRNA from 1 species
GACGAACGCUGGCGGCGUGCCUAAUACAUGCAAGUAGAACGCUGAAGGAGGAGCUUGCUUCUCUGGAUGAGUUGCGAACGGGUGAGUAACGCGUAGGUAACCUGCCUGGUAGCGGGGGAUAACUAUUGGAAACGAUAGCUAAUACCGCAUAAUAGCAGUUGUUGCAUGACAACUGUUUGAAAGGUGCAAUUGCACCACUACCAGAUGGACCUGCGUUGUAUUAGCUAGUUGGUGGGGUAACGGCUCACCAAGGCGACGAUACAUAGCCGACCUGAGAGGGGGAUCGGCCCCACUGGGACUGAGACACGGCCCAGACUCCUACGGGAGGCAGCAGUAGGGCAUCUUCGGCAAUGGACGGAAGUCUGACCGAGCAACGCCGCGUGAGUGCAGAAGGUUUUCGGAUCGUAAAGCUCUGUUGUAAGAGAAGAACGAGUGUGAGAGUGGAAAGUUCACACUGUGACGGUAUCUUACCAGAAAGGGACGGCUAACUACGUG